AACGAACGCUGGCGGCAUGGAUUAGGCAUGCAAGUUGAACGAACUCCUUCGGGAGUGAGUAGCGGAAGGGUGAGGAACGCGUGAGUAAUCUGCCCCCCAGUUGGGAAUAACAGUUGGAAACGACUGCUAAUACCGAAUGUGGCUUAAGCUUCGCCUGGAGCUUUGGCUAAAGAUUUAUCGCUGGGGGAUGAGCUCGCGUCCCAUUAGCUAGUUGGUGAGGUAACGGCUCACCAAGGCGACGAUGGGUAGCUGGUCUGAGAGGAUGGUCAGCCACACUGGGACUGAGACACUGCCCAGACUCCUACGGGAGGCUGCAGUCGAGAAUCUUGGGCAAUGCGCGAAAGCGUGACCCAGCAAUGCCGCGUGUAUGAUGAAGGCCCUCGGGUCGUAAAGUACUGUCUCCCGUGACGAAAUUUGACGGUAGCGGGGAAGGAAGCCACGGCUAACUACGUG
rnacentral:rRNA from 1 species